UAAUUGCAAUGGUAGGAGGCUCAGAGUACAGAGAGGCCAUGAUGUGCUGUUUUGGAUAGAAAAUCUAGGGUUAGAAAGAUGACUAAAUAAGCUGAGAGUGCAUUUUGAGUGUGAGUUGUUCCAUGCAUGGUGUGUGUUCUACAUGCACUUCUUGUUCAUUUCUUCUACCUAACUAGCUAGCUGUACAUCUAAAUUCAAGAUAAUAUAUAUGUGAGAUAUGUUGAAAGACUAGAAAAUGGCAUGUUUGAACCAAUUGUCUUACUAGUGCAAGUUCCGAAUGACAUGAUCAUGCUAGCUGUUCUUACCAGAUCUGCGUCUCAUCUUCUUCCUUCAAAAUGAAACUGGAUUAAUAAUGCCAUGCAAGUGUAAUCAUUUAUCUAUUACAAUUCACAGCAAUGCUUAUAGGUAGAGAGUAUGCCCUCCAAGCUAUUUAAUCGUACUACUUGUUUAAUUAUAUAUAUAAAGAUAAAAUAUAUCUCAUCCAUACGAAUUACGAGUAAAUUAAUUUCGAUCAAAUCCAAUACUGAAUAUUGAAUUUUCAAAACAAAAAAUAUGAACAAAAGCUACUUUCUAAUGGGAGGAGCGCAUUAUAGCAGCAGGGGUCCUGAUAGCCUUUUUGCAAAAGGAAAGGCAGUAAAUUGUUGUUACAAAUAAUUUGUAUGAACUUUGGGGCAAAUGAUUCAAACUCAAGAUUAAAUUUCAAGGACAGAACAUCCAGGAAGUUUUGAUCUGGCAUGUAUAAUACAUAAAAGUGUUCAGCCUUUUCAAAAUGGUAGAAAUAAUUUUUGGGACGCCUCUUCUUGAAAAAUAGCUACUUGCUUGUUAGCAUCAUCAUUCAACUUCAAGGACAAAACGUUUUUCCUAAUUUUCUUAUAGAAACAAUAAUUUAGGCUUUUAGAAUAGAUCUUAAAGUUCAAGUAACCUGCAUGCCUAUGAACUCUCUUCCAUUGAAAAGAUAGAUGAUGUAAUUUUUUAACCUGAGUGCUAUUCACCUUGCACAUAUAGCAGCUACUUGUGAGUAUUCAGAAACGUAUAAUUGUCGAGCUAUAACAUCAAGUACAAACUUCACUUCUGAUUCUGUCGAAGCAGUAAAAUCUGCUCCCACUGGUUGUUGCGUGCAUUUAUUGGGGAGGGGGCAAAAGAAAAUUAAACAACAAAAGAUGGAUUAAAAAGAAGUUCUCUUUAUUCCCUUGUCAACAUGGCACUAGGCUUGCAUCUAUUUGUUCUGCCAUCACAUGCUCCAUCUCAAUCAACUUUGCUGUCUCAACGACUAAAGAUAUCAUUUCUCUAUCAAAAAUGGUCCAUUUAUUGGGUAGCUACUAGUUAUAACAUGAGGAUGAAUCCAUGAACUUACAAUGGAAUUUUGGGCUGAGAAGGGGCUUGCUAAACUUACAAUCUACAAACAUGUAAGACCACUGCUUCGUCGAAUCAACUCAGCUCCUGUUAUCUCCUCGCAGAAACCUCUGGUUCAGGAAGUUGUUUUAGCAGCCGAAUUGCGAUGCCCCAGCUGCCUAAAGAGGGUGAAUGAUGCAAUUUCAGUAUUGAAGGCAAAUGUUAAUUGAUCAACUCUUCAUUUUGUCCCCAACACCAUAAGAAUUUUAUGCAUUUAGAUUCAACUAAAAGAGAUGCUAAAUUUACACUUACCCGAAGACAUAGUGUGUAUGCACACAUAAAUACAUAGUUGAUUUCCCUAAUGGAGGAUGUAUGUCUGCAGAUGUGGAAUCUAUUGUGGUGCAUGUGUUAGAAAAGAAAGUGACACUCACUCCUAAAUCUAUCGCUGAAGGUUCUUCGACAAGAGUCCCUGUUGUCUUCACCGACCUAGCCUGCAAAACGUUAAGGAAUCCUCUACUUUCUUACCACAUAUAGUUGAUUUCAAAAUCAGCAUGAUAUCAAAUAUAAAUACUAUUAUUUUAUCUUUUAUGAUAGGACUAAUAAAGCAAGGUCUGUUUUGUUUGGAUUUGUAAGCUAAUCUGACAUAAUGCCUUACAAUAUAGAAUUAAAUCAUCUAAUGAGUAGAAACCUCAAUGAGACAUUUUUACGC